rnacentral:rRNA from 1 species
CCUACGGGAGGCAGCAGUAGGGAAUCUUCCACAAUGGACGAAAGUCUGAUGGAGCAACGCCGCGUGCGGGAAGACGGGUCUCCGCGUUGUAAGCUCCGUUUGUAGGGGAGUAAGCUAGAGGUCGUAACUGCCCUUUAGUUGACGGUAAUAACUUAGAUAGUCACGGCUCACUACCUGCCAGCCGCGGCGGUAAUACGUAGGUGGCAUGCGUUGUGCGGUUUUGUUGGGCGUAAAGGGAGUGCGGGCGGUUCAAUACGUCUGAUGUGAAAGCCUUCGGCUCAACCGGAGAAUUGCAUCAGAAACUGUUGAACUUGAGUGCAGACGGGGAUGGUGGAACUCAAGGGGUAGCGGUGGAAUGCGUAGAUAUAAGGAAGAACACCGGUGGCGAAGGCAGCUCUCUGGUCUGCAACUGACGCUGAGGCUCGAAAGCAUGGGUAGCGAACAGGAUUAGAUACCCGGGUAGUC